GGCGUAUUUAGCAACAAUCGCAUUACUGCUAUUACUUUUUAUGGCAAAAUAUUGUGCAGCCAAUCACCACCAUCCAGACAUGUUAGCCGCCGUUGUACCAGUUGAGAAAAUGUACGAAGUGGAGCACAACAUGCACAACAAGGAACCUGAAGUGCUCUUCUUUGGAAAAAGGGGCGUAAAUACUUAUUAUGACUAUUAGUG